ensembl:lncRNA
AAAAGCUCGAAACAGUUCAGCACACCAACCUGAUGAGGAAGGGGAAGCAUUGGAACUACUGCAUCUGGCUGCACAAAUGGGAAAACGUCUUCCUUUGCAAGUGAAGUCAUAGUCAGGCUGAGAACUGAAUGAGCAGAUUUCUCUGAAAAGUUAUAAUGGGAAUCCCUCAGAGAGUUUGCUGCAGGAAGCCCAGCGCUGCUGUGCCAUGCUGCCCGCUGCCCUCAUUCCUUCACCCCAUGGCACCCACAGCAACAGGUGAGACAGCCACACCACGCCCAGCACAGCGCCCUGUCCACAUCGCACCAAAUGGAUUUCUCAAAAGCAAUCUGUGCUUAAUGCUGUUUUCCAAGAAAUCUCCAACCCAGCUUAGUUGCCCCUCACCAUUUCUCCACUGUCUCACCCCAGUUUCAAAGAAGUUAUCCUGGAUAAAGUCUACGCAGAGAAGAGAACUUCUGCCCGUAGCUUUUUCCUUCUUAAUUACUCUUGUUUAUUUGAAUGCAUUACCUGCUCGCUCUCACCUGAGGGGAAUGCUGGAGAAAAAACACUGCCAUAGAGAAAUUUUCUUCUUAAUUACCACCAGUUGAAAGUUUUUAUUGCUGUGUACGUGUCUGAGUUCACAGGCAGAGGCACAAUGGGAUGUGUUGCAAUUCAAUAGAUCAUCCAAAUGGGCUUUGUUUUAGCUCUAGAGGUGCUCAGGAAAAUAAACCCAACCUCUGGGGAAGAUGUGAGGUUCCUGCUAAAAGACUUCGUCAAGUCCCCAUUGGGAGCCCACAUGGUACUGACCUCUGCCAGCAUCUGUACCAGCACAUCUGUGUCAGCUGCUGAGGAACAUCCUGCUGUAAUGGACAGUGAAUCACUGUGGGGUGUACAAUUCUCUUGAGUUUUAUGACUGAUAAAGGAACUAUUUUCAUUCCUUUAGAAAUGUUUUUGGCAAUGUGCAACAGCUUCAUACGUUUGUAUUUAUAGAACUGGGCAGUAAUUUCUCUCCACAGACUUAAAAUCUUACCCAAAGAGUUCAACUAACCAGUGUAUGUAGCCCAUACAGCCUUUCUUCCCCUUCUUCCCGCUCCCCCCUUUCCUGAGAGCAGUGUGUGGUUUUACUGCUGUGGUUGCAGUUCUGAGGCAUUUGUUGAGUCCUGAAGACAAGCUGUGGCCAAUCUGUUGUCUGCAGACU